GACGAACGCUGGCGGCGUGCUUAACACAUGCAAGUCGAACGGAAAGGCCCUGCUUUUGUGGGGUGCUCGAGUGGCGAACGGGUGAGUAACACGUGAGUAACCUGCCCUUGACUUUGGGAUAACUUCAGGAAACUGGGGCUAAUACCGGAUAGGAGCUCCUGCUGCAUGGUGGGGGUUGGAAAGUUUCGGCGGUUGGGGAUGGACUCGCGGCUUAUCAGCUUGUUGGUGGGGUAGUGGCUUACCAAGGCUUUGACGGGUAGCCGGCCUGAGGGGGUGACCGGCCACAUUGGGACUGAGAUACGGCCCAGACUCCUACGGGAGGCAGCAGUGGGGAAUACUGCACAAUGGGCGGAAGCCUGAUGCAGCAACGCCGCGUGCGGGAUGACGGCCUUCGGGUUGUAAACCGCUUUCGCCUGUGACGAAGCGUGAGUGACGGUAAUGGGUAAAGAAGCACCGGCUAACUACGU
rnacentral:rRNA from 1 species